GACGUAGGGCGCGAGCGUUGUCCGGAAUUAUUGGGCGUAAAGAGCUCGUAGGCGGUUUGUCGCGUCUGCUGUGAAAACCCUAAGGCUCAACCUUGGGCUUGCAGUGGGUACGGGCAGACUUGAGGCAGGUAGGGGAGAACGGAAUUCUCGGUGUAGAGGUGAAAUUCGUAGAUAUCGAGAGGAACACCGGUGGCGAAGGCGGCCAACUGGACGAAUACUGACGCUGAGACACGAAAGCGUGGGGAGCAAACAGG
rnacentral:rRNA from 1 species